rnacentral:misc_RNA from 1 species
UUAAGUUCAGCGGGUAGUCCUACCUGAUUUGAGAUCGAACGUUAAAAAAGCUGUCCUCACCGAGGAGAGACGUCUAUGAGCCCCAGCGAACCUCCACUGCUGGAGGUUACCUGGUGGACAAUCGCAAGCGUAGAUAGUUAUCACACCUGUGGUGCCGCCAAACACUGGCAAGCUGAUUCAUUUGAGAGGAGCUGGCCACU